rnacentral:rRNA from 1 species
AUCGCNGCUNACCAUGCAAGUCGAACGGUAAUUCCGAUUUCGGUCGGAAACGAGUGGCGAACGGGUGCGUAACGCGUAUGCAACCUACCUUUAACUGGGGAAUAGCCCCGAGAAAUCGGGAUUAAUACCCCAUAAUAUCCCAAAAUCGCAUGAUUUUAGGAUUAAAGCUUCGGCGGUUUUAGAUGGGCAUGCGUGACAUUAGUUUGUUGGUGAGGUAACGGCUCACCAAGACUACGAUGUCUAGGGGUUCUGAGAGGAUUAUCCCCCACACUGGUACUGAGACACGGACCAGACUCCUACGGGAGGCAGCAGUGAGGAAUAUUGGGCAAUGGACGAAAGUCUGACCCAGCCAUGCCGCGUGCAGGAUGACAGCCCUAUGGGUUGUAAACUGCUUUUUUACGGGAAAAAACCCCCGAACGUGUUCGGGGCUGAUGGUACCGUAAGAAUAAGGAUCGGCUAACUCCGUGCCAGCAGCCGCGGUAAUACGGAGGAUCCAAGCGUUAUCCGGAUUUAUUGGGUUUAAAGGGUGCGCAGGCGGGACGAUAAGUCAGUGGUGAAAGCCUACAGCUUAACUGUAGAACUGCCUCUGAAACUGUCGUUCUUGAGUAUAGUUGAAGUAAGUGGAAUGUGUCAUGUAGCGGUGAAAUGCAUAGAUAUGACACAGAACACCAAUUGCGAAGGCAGCUUACUAAGCUAUAACUGACGCUCAUGCACGAAAGCGUGGGGAGCAAACAGGAUUAGAUACCCUGGUAGUCCACGCUGUAAACGAUGAUUACUCGAUGUUGGCGAUAUACAGUCAGUGUCUGAACGAAAGUAUUAAGUAAUCCACCUGGGGAGUACGGUCGCAAGA